GAGACCCACGCCCACAGUUGCCAGCGUACUCUCCGGAGUGACGGGUACACUGUGGGGACCGCCGCUGCUAAAGCGGAGGAAGGAAUGGGCAACGGUAGGUCAGUAUGCCCCGAAUAUCCCGGGCUACACGCGAGCUACAAUGGUUGGUACAAUGGGUAUCUACCCCGAAAGGGGAUGGAAAUCUCCUAAAGCCAAUCUUAGUCCGGAUUGAGGGCUGCAACUCGCCCUCAUGAAGCUGGAGUCCGUAGUAAUCGCGUUUCAACAGAACGCGGUGAAUAC
rnacentral:rRNA from 1 species